CAUUUCAGAUGGCUUAGGUUGGGGUUAAAAAAAAUUCUCGGUUCCUUUGCGAGGUUUGCUAAAAAAUUUAUAUUUUCACAUGUUUGUUUCAAAUUUCAUUUGAAUAUCAUCACAAAGCAAUGCCUUGUUCAAGUAAGAAUUUCACCACAAAAGAAUGGACCAAGUUUUGAGGAUUGUGAUCUUGGAUCAAUCUUGAGGGGACAUCAUCAAAUGUCGCUUUGCAGACAUUGCUCCAUCUUAUAUGCUCCUACAAUGAUCAUGAAGAUUGUAAACUUGUUGUCAAUAAUAUGGAUGAUGAGGGUGAGCAGGUUUCAAUAGAAUGAGUCUUGUGUUGAAUCAAUGAUCACAAGGAAAAUAAGUUACGAUCUUGUUGGAUUUUUUUUCCAGCUAACCCCAACAUUAAUGGAAGAGAAUUGACUUGAAGGUGAUUUAAAAGAGAUCUAGACAUAACUUGGAACAUGGAUUCAGGUGGACAAUUAAAUAUAUAAUAUUGUGGAAAUGUAGCCAUUGGGAUGACUUACAUCAAAUUGUAAAAUAUUAAAUCAUACUCGAAACCUAAGAACUUAUACUCAAGAUCCAUUGGGACAAAAGAGGAGUCUAGAAUUUUUUUUAUCAAAGCGCUUCGAGAUCGAUGGCGGAAACAACGAGGGAGUAGGUAAUCAUGGAGCCAAUUACAGGAGCUUUACCUGGAUCAGUGGCGGAGGCAGGAUCUCCACGAAGGGGUUCAAAAAAAAAAAUUGUAACUAGUGAGAAUUGAAUCCAUGAUCUUAUGUAGAUUUUAAACCUCCUUGACCACUAAACUACACUUUUGGAUUGUGUUAAUGGGGUUCAAAACUUAAUAUAUAAA